GGAGAGGUGUCCGAGAGGCCGAAGGAGCACGCUUGGAAAGCGUGUAUGGGCUCACACCCAUCGAGGGUUCGAAUCCCUCCCUCUCCGCCA
rnacentral:tRNA from 1 species